rnacentral:rRNA from 1 species
CGCUGGCGGCGUGCCUAAUACAUGCAAGUCGAGCGGAAUGAUGAAGAAGCUUGCUUCUUCUGAUUUUAGCGGCGGACGGGUGAGUAACACGUGGGCAACCUACCUUGUAGAUUGGGAUAACUCCGGGAAACCGGGGCUAAUACCGAAUAAUCCAUUUUGCUUCAUGGCGAGAUGUUGAAAGACGGUUUCGGCUGUCACUAUAAGAUGGGCCCGCGGCGCAUUAGCUAGUUGGUAGGGUAAUGGCCUACCAAGGCGACGAUGCGUAGCCGACCUGAGAGGGUGAUCGGCCACACUGGGACUGAGACACGGCCCAGACUCCUACGGGAGGCAGCAGUAGGGAAUCUUCCGCAAUGGACGAAAGUCUGACGGAGCAACGCCGCGUGAGUGAAGAAGGUUUUCGGAUCGUAAAACUCUGUUGUAAGGGAAGAACACGUACGAGAGUAACUGCUCGUACCUUGACGGUACCUUAUUAGAAAGCCACGGCUAACUACGUG